AUUGAACGCUGGCGGCAUGCUUUACACAUGCAAGUCGAACGGUAACAGGCCGCAAGGUGCUGACGAGUGGCGAACGGGUGAGUAAUGCAUCGGAACGUGCCCAGUCGUGGGGGAUAACGCAGCGAAAGCUGCGCUAAUACCGCAUACGAUCUCUGGAUGAAAGCGGGGGACCGAAAGGCCUCGCGCGAUUGGAGCGGCCGAUGUCGGAUUAGGUAGUUGGUGGGGUAAAGGCCCACCAAGCCAACGAUCUGUAGCUGGUCUGAGAGGACGACCAGCCACACUGGGACUGAGACACGGCCCAGACUCCUACGGGAGGCAGCAGUGGGGAAUUUUGGACAAUGGGCGCAAGCCUGAUCCAGCAAUGCCGCGUGCAGGAAGUAGGCCUUCGGGUUGUAAACUGCUUUUGUACGGAACGAAACGGUCCGGGCUAAUACCCUGGGCUAAUGACGGUACCGUAAGAAUAAGCACCGGCUAACUACGUGCCAGCCGCCGCGGUAAGAC
rnacentral:rRNA from 1 species